GUUUCAGGUUUCUCCUCUUUAUUUGCUGGUUUUUCAGUUUUAUUUUCAACAACUAGUUUUUCAUCUGUCUGUUCAAUCGUUAGUUCUUCAGGUUUCUCUUCAAGCGGUAGUUCUUCAGCUGUUUCCUCCCCUAUCUGCACUUGUUUUUCUUUAGUUGCUGGUUCUUCAGGUUUCUCUUCAGCUGUUGGUUCUUCUGGUUUCUCCUCAACUGUUGGUUCUUCAGGUUUUUCUUUAACUUCAGGUUCUUCAGGGUUUUCCUCAACUUCUGAAAAGCGAGCAUCAUUAUUGUUGGUAAUGCUUGGAAUUUUACUGUCAGUUUUGUCGUUCGAGACUACAACUGGCAUACUCUGCAAGAAAAGAACUUUAAAGUCUUACUUAGUCUUUCAGUAGGUAAGCAUAUGUAAAUCGUAUCGUAUACACAACUAAUAAGAUGGAUAAACUUUGUGACAAUGCUUGAUCCUCACCUUUUCCAGGAGAGUUACCCUUUCAGGUUUCUCCUCUUCAAUUGUUUGUUCUUCAUGUUUCUCCUCAAUUGUUGGUUCUUCAGGUUUCUUCUCAAAUGCUGGUGCUUCACGUUUCUCCUCAAUUGAUGGUUUUUCAGAUUUCUCUUCAACAGCUGGUUCUUCAGGUUUCUUCUCAACCGUUGGUUCUUCAGGUUUUUCUUCAACUACUGGUUCUUCAAGGUUUGCCUCAACUGAU
rnacentral:lncRNA from 1 species